GACGAACGCUGGCGGCGUGCUUAACACAUGCAAGUCGAACGAAGAGCGAUGGAAGCUUGCUUCUAUCAAUCUUAGUGGCGAACGGGUGAGUAACGCGUAAUCAACCUGCCCUUCAGAGGGGGACAACAGUUGGAAACGACUGCUAAUACCGCAUACGAUCUAAUCUCGGCAUCGAGGAUAGAUGAAAGGUGGCCUCUACAUGUAAGCUAUCACUGAAGGAGGGGAUUGCGUCUGAUUAGCUAGUUGGAGGGGUAACGGCCCACCAAGGCGAUGAUCAGUAGCCGGUCUGAGAGGAUGAACGGCCACAUUGGGACUGAGACACGGCCCAGACUCCUACGGGAGGCAGCAGUGGGGAAUCUUCCGCAAUGGACGAAAGUCUGACGGAGCAACGCCGCGUGAGUGAUGACGGCCUUCGGGUUGUAAAGCUCUGUUAAUCGGGACGAAAGGCCUUCUUGCGAAUAGUAGAAGGAU
rnacentral:rRNA from 1 species